rnacentral:rRNA from 2 species
AUCCCAUCUCGAACUCGGCCGUUAAACGCACCAGCGCCCAUGGUACUGUGUCUCAAGACACGGGAGAGUCGGUCGCCGCCAGAC